rnacentral:rRNA from 1 species
GACGAACGCUGGCGGCGUGCUUAACACAUGCCAGUCGAACGGAAAGGCCCUGCUUUUGUGGGGUGCUCGGGUGGCGAACGGGUGAGUAACACGUGAGUAACCUGCCCUUGACUUUGGGAUAACUUCAGGAAACUUGGGCUAAUACCGGAUAUGAGCUCCUGCUGCAUGGUGGGGGUUGGAAAGUUUCGGCGGUUGGGGAUUGACUCGCGGCUUAUCUGCUUGUUGGUGGGGUAGUGGCUUACCAAGGCUUUGACUGGUAGCCGGCACUAGAGGGUGACCGGCGACACGGGGACUGAGAUACGCCCCAGACUCGUACGGGAGGCAGCAGGGGGGAACAUUGCACAAUGGGCCGAAGCCUGGUGCAGCAACGCCGCGUGCGGGAUGACGGCCUUCGGGUUGUAAACCGCCUUCGCCUGUGACGGGGCGGGAAUGACGGUAAUGUAUAAAGAAGCACCGGCUAACUACGUG